rnacentral:rRNA from 1 species
CUUUCUAUGGAAGCUUGCUCCACUGAGAAGAUAGUGGCGAACGGGUGAGUAACACGUGGGUAACCUGCCCAUAAGAAGGGGGAGUAACAUCCGGAAACGGGUGCUAAUACCGCAUAGUUUUCUUGAUCGCAUGAUUGAGAAAGGAAAGACGGCCUUUGUGCUGUCGCUUAUGGAUGGACCCGCGGCGUAUUAGUUAGUUGGUGAGGUAACGGCUCACCAAGACGAUGAUACGUAGCCGACCUGAGAGGGUGAUCGGCCACAUUGGGACUGAGACACGGCCCAAACUCCUACGGGAGGCAGCAGUAGGGAAUCUUCCGCAAUGGACGAAGUCUGACGGAGCAACGCCGCGUGAGUGAAGAAAAGGUUUUCGGAUCGUAAAACUCUGUUGUCAGAGAAGAACAAGUUGGAGAGUAACUGCUCCAGCCUUGACGGUAUCUGACCAGAAAGCCACGGCUAACUACGUGCCAGCAGCCGC